GGCCUAGGGAGGCAGCAGUGGGGAAUUGUUCGCAAUGGGCGCAAGCCCGACGACGCAACGCCGCGUGGAGGAUGAAGGUCUUCGGAUUGUAAACUCCUUUUGCAGGGGAAGAUAAUGACGGUACCCUGCGAAUAAGCCACGGCUAACUCUGUGCCAGCAGCCGCGGUAAUA
rnacentral:rRNA from 1 species